CUGCUGGGAGCACCGCCCGGGCGGCGGGUCCCUCCUGCGGCGGCGGCUCCGGGUGGGAUGCGCGGCCCGGCCCGCGGCAGCUGUGAAUUCUCAUAGAAGAGUGAUAGCUCUGGCAACAUUUGUCCACAACUGAAGAUGGGUGGAUUGAUUUCAAGAUGGAGGCAGGCAAAGCCAUCCACUGUAGAAGUAUUAGAAAAAAUAGAUAAGGAAAUACAGACAUUAGAAGAAUUUAGAGAAAAAAAUCAGAGGCUACAGAAACUAUGGGUUGGAGGGCUGCUUCUCUACUCUUCACUCCUUUACCUUGUUACUUGCUUAAUUGUAUAUUUGUGGUGUCUUCCUGACGAAUGGACAGCAAGGUUGACAAUGACACUUCCAUUUUUUGCAUUUCCAUUCAUAAUCUGGUGUAUAAGAACACUGCUCAUUUUCUUCUUUUCCAAACGGACAGAAAGGAAUAAUGAUGCGCUGGAAGAUUUAAAAUCUCAAAAGAAAAAAAUACUUGAGGAAGUGAUGGAGAAGGAAACAUAUAAGACUGCUAAAUUAAUCCUUGAAAGGUUUGAUCCAGAAUCAAGUGCAAAGGAGGCUGAACUACCAUCUGCUGGAACAUCUGCAACCCCAAGACCUGGACAAGAAAUUCGUCAGAGGACCGCAGCUCAAAGAAAUGCUUCUACACCCCCACCUGUGACUCCUAAACAAGGUUCUCCCAAGUCACCGGUUCCAGCAUCUCCUAAUCUGCAGAGAGACUCAUCGGGUCUGAGUGGACUCCCGGAGAGAACCGUUGUGCCAUCCUUGCAGUCAAAUGUUUUACCAAGACGCCCUGGAUCCCCUGCUACUUCAGUGCCUGGAAUGGGUCUUCAUCCUCCAGGUCCUCCUUUGGCAAGACCUAUUCUUCCUCGAGAAAGAGGAGUUGUGGAUAGAGUUAUUGAGUAUUUGGUUGGUGAUGGUCCUCAGAACAGGUAUGCCCUUAUAUGUCAGCAAUGUUUUUCCCACAAUGGUAUGGCUUUGAAGGAAGAGUUUGAAUACAUAGCAUUUAGGUGUGCCUACUGCUUUUUCCUGAAUCCUGCAAGAAAAACUAGACCUCGAGCUCCACGACUUCCAGAGUUCAGUUUUGAAAAAAAGCGAUCUACAGAAUUGCAAUCUGAAACUGAUCCUCUAGAACCCAGAGAGAAAAAGCCCCAGGAGACUGAACAGACAGAAGAAUCUGAAGAUGAUGCGGCCCAGAUCAUUGAGACAAAUGAGACAGAUGAUAAAACACCAAGUUCUGAGCAGCUAAAUGAUAAGCUAGCUGAAGAAAUUGAAAAAGAAGAAGCAGAAAACAUUUCAACAACUGAAGACUCUAUUUCAGAGUCUAUUUCAGCUGAACAAAAUGAAGAAUCUCUAAUGAAAGCAGAAUAAAGUACUUCAAGUGCCUUCUGUAGCUAGUUUUUAGCUUUGUUCAUGCCUGUUGUUACUAUUCAGAGAAGCUGGAUUUGUAGAAAACUCAAGCAACAAAGACCUUCCAGCUCUUCUGAAGUGGUCUGCCCUCUAAUUCCUUGCAUCAUUUCAAGGAGUUCUGCUCACUUAUGAAACUUAAUAUUGACUUGUUCAGCACUCAAAGAAAAACAUUUUGCAAAACCACCAAGAAAAUUAAUUUUAAGAAAACUAUUUUGAAUUAUGUUUUAAAGGAAAUGUGAAAGUUGUUAUUUCUUUAGGAAUGUUUGAACUUGUAUUUUUUGUAUAUUGAGCCUUUAUUUAAACAGGUGAUCCUGUAUAUUUAUAGAUGUUAUUGUUGUAAUAGCCUUGUUACAUUAGCAAAGGGGGUGUGUGUUCAUGUACUAUAAAUAGUAUCUUUAAUCAGAAAUAUCAUUUUCAUCCUAGCUGUGGUCUUGACCAGUAGUUACAUCACCUGCAGUUGAAAUUCCAUUAAAAUCAAUUGCAAAGGCAUUAAUUAGUGUGAAUUCUUGGGGUCUAAUAGACUUCAUGAAAUGUCUGUCUUAGUUUUUCUACUUGUAAUUGAGAAAAUAUUUGAAUUUGUGCUCCCCUUUUGAAAUUUACUAUUUUACUAAAUGAAGUGAAUUUUAAAGCAUAUGAAAUUAAAUUAUGUAGCUUGUUGUUUGAAAAUAUGGCGCCUUUGCUGUGUAUGUAACUUCUAGAGGAAAAAAACCCCUGAUUAUGAAGAAGCUAUUUAUUCACCUGAUCUUAAUUUAUGGUUUCAAGGUGAUAAUUCUGUUAGUAGUUCCUUCUGUGCUGGCUGCACUCAAUUCAACUUGAAUUUCAUAGGGUUUUUUUUUAAGGACCUCAUGUUACCAAACUAAGAUGAGAGUGCUCCAGUCUUUUUAUUGCAGUCUCCACCCCCAAGUUGGACAGGCAUAUGUAGGGGAAGAAAGUUGUUCAAGGUUGAGUAGAUGCUGAUAAGACCCAUUUAUCUGUGCUGCAACCAAUUGUGAGAACUCCUGGCUCAUGGCAUGAACAGCCAGCUAUUCACCCUCAAAGGUCAGGCUGGCACAGGACAGCAGAAUUUUGUGUGUGCUGAAGAAGAGGCAGGAAAAACUCAAUAUAAAAAAUAUGUGGCAGCUUCAGAGGGAACUGUGGAGUUGUAAAGAUGCUGAAUUUGGCCCACAGUUACAUAGGCAUUUCAGGAUAGAUAUUACAGAUUUUAUCUAAACGGUGAUUUAUGUCCGUAUUCCUCCAUUAUUGUCCACAAGGUACUGCCCUGUGUCACAGACCUGUAUUGCCCAAUUUUUUCAGACGGUUUCAUUUUCAUUAGUACAGCUGCUUUAGCUUGUGAUCAGUGUACUGCACCUCAUUGAUAAUCUAAGAGGGUAUUAGAUGCACAGAAGUGGCACCUAGCCCUGUCAGUCUGACUUGAUUGACCCCUCAGCUUCCGAAACAUGGGUUCAUUUUUUUUUUCCUUUUUAAACCCAAGUUAGCCUGCAUCCAUUUUCACACACAUUCUGGGCAGUUUAAAGGUAGGUCAGAUUCAAAUAUUGCUCUUUCAAAUUUGAUAAUGUAUGAGUACAGAACUGUGACCUUUGAUACAUAGUAAUACAUCAACAUGACACAAGCAGUAAGUGCAGCAAUUACCUUUACUACACUUCAGAUUGUGUUUUAGUUCUCAUCUUGUAAGCAAUUAUUUCAGGAGAAAAGGGAUGCCUUUAAGUUAAAUAUAUUUUGCAAAUAGUGUAAAUGCAGAAAUUAAUCUCUGGGGACUUUUUGAUUUACAGGUGAAUGUUUUCAAAUGAAUCUUGGCUUUUAAAUUAACAUUGGUUCUGUGGUAGAAAGGAAUUUUGUGCCACUGGCUUUUACAAUACUUUUUUUCUGAAGAGGUUUUUUUAACUGUUUUUGUUCUUGGGAUGAUCCAAACCAUCACACUUGUGUUCUAAUGUAAUCUAAGUUUCAUAUUCUGAUGUAUUGCUAAAGCCUGACUCUGCAAGCAGUUGACAUGUCACUGUGUUCAUGUUGCUUCCAUGAUAAUACUCAUGAGUAGGUUAUGUGCAUGGUAAUAAUGCAAGUUUACAUGCUUUUAAAUGCCUUUCAGAACACAAGAACAUAUCGGACCUGCACCACAUACUGAUUUAAAAUGCUCUUUUUAAAUGUUUUGUCUUUUUCCUGAGCAGAUCAAGAUACAUUUCGUUUAUUUCCAAAUGUUCUUUCUCACCUGUAGUUAUAAAUUAUUUGGAUAAUGAUAGUGCACAAUGACUACCUGGUAGCAGUAUAAAAACACAAAUCAGUAUUCCUUGCCAAAGAGCAUAAGGAGUUGUCAUAAAGAGGACUGAUAGCAGUUGUGGUUUCUGUUCUGUGGACUGAAAAUCAGAAUAAAAUUACUGUGUCAUUCUGAGCAAGCAGUUGAGUAACCAUUGAAUGGUGACUUUCUGUCAAUGCUGUCUGUCACAACCCAAAUUUGAAGGAAUAAUUUGAAGUAAAACUUCUUGUUCUUCUAAAAUAUCUGCUUCUUCAGCAGCCAAGCACUGAGCAAUGUUUGUGUGCUGAACUUCACUGAACUUUAAUUCAGGAGCUGGGAAGAUGCUUUGUUCUAUAUUGAAGUGAAAUCAACACCUUUUGCAGUGGCUUUCUUUAAGCUGUCAAAAAUGUAACCCCUAGUCCCUGAUACCAUUUGGCUGUUCUAGGAUCCAGGCCCAGGAGAUGGCUGACCCCAGUGGCUGUUGUGGAAUGGGGACUGAAUAGAGCCAUCCUCUUCCAAGUCUACCAUGAGCAGAGGGGUGACUGGCUUUCACUGGGGUGACUUUCCCUUUUGAACUCCUGCCAGUGACAAUUGCUCACUUGCUCUACAUGUGCACUAGUUAUAGACUGAUAAUAAACCCCAAACCUUUCCUAAUGCAAGUCUCAUGUAAGGGUGUCUCUAACAGAUUUUCUCAGUAUUUUCUAGCAAGAGAAAAUUCUUAACUAUCAUGGUGGUUUUUGUACCUGGAGAGGAAAAUCAAAACAAAUACAUUAGAUCACCAUAUAAAUUACUCAUAAUCAAGCUCUUGACCAUAGAAAUUGUUUUGCAAAGCCAAGAAGAAUGUACUGGGUGGGGUAAAGGUGCAAACAUGUUUCUAUGCUGUUUCUUGUUGCUUUUGACCUGUGCCAUGUAAGGGCACUUGGGCCCUUAACUCCUUUAAAAUAAAAAUUACCAAAACCUUAGGCUUUUUUGCAUGCUUUUAUAAAUGCUAAAUGUUAAUAGUAGUAACUUAUUUGGAAAAAAUUACCCAACCUACUUUUGUGCGGUGUUUUCCAUCAAAAAAUAUGAAUACUGUGUACAUGGAAAUCUUGAGUCUGUGCUGCUGACUUAGCAGAUGAUGAUUACAGCAGCUCAGUGGGGAAGUUUGUUUUUAACUGGGACUCCAUGUUUGUAGGAAGUUCCUUAGGCUGAAAGGCUGCCCUUGUGACUCUGGGCAGAGAAGCGCAUUUGUUACUUGGCUACAAAUAACAACAGGAGAAAAAUGGCAAUUGCUCAUUGCGUGUCAGUAUUUGUUGAUUGUUGUUUGCUCAUGCUAAAUUUAUUACUUGUGGUAACAACUUGGGCCUUUUUAGUUCUCUGUAUUGUAUAUUAUUAGCCAUUUUUUAAAGGAGCUGACAUCACUGGUAUUCCUCAACAGUAGAAUUCUUUUUGUAAUACCUAUAAAAUAUUUCCUUUUUCUCGUAUUUUAGGUAAGGAAUAGUACUACAGCAAUAUAACUAGAAGUACUUAUUUAAGAAAUGCUAGAAUUUUUGUUUGUUUCAGCUAUUUACCUACAUCUGUGUGGUUCUGGGGCUUUUUUAAAAUGGUGAAUGACCACCUGGUUGCAGAAAGUAUUUUCUUUUUAGAAUUUAUCUUAAAACUUACCAAUUUGCAAUAGAGAAAGCCUCCUGGAAGGAGUUUGUUGGAUUAUUGUAUAGCUGAAUUGAGCAGCUAAAAUUUAUGGACACUUAAUGUAAAGUACUUGACUAAGACUGUGUACAACUCAUUGUGAAUACUCCUGAUAUAUUAUUAUAAAGCGUUAUGUUCGCCGAGUCA